AACGUAGGAGACAAACGUUAUCCGGAGUUACUGGGCGUAAAGGGCGUGUAGGCGGUUUGUUAAGUCUGGCGUGAAAGCUCUCGGCUAAACCGGGAGAGGUCGUUGGAUACUGGCGAACUAGAGGAUGGUAGAGGCGUGUGGAAUUCCGGGUGUAGUGGUGAAAUGCGUAGAUAUCGGGAGGAACAUCAGUGGCGAAGGCGGCCUUCUGGUCCAGUACUGACACUCAAGUGCGAAAGCGUGGGGAGCAAACAGG
rnacentral:rRNA from 1 species